AAGUCGUAACAAGGUUUCCGUAGGUGAACCUGCGGAAGGAUCAUUAACACGUAUCCAAACGUUAAACAACCCCGUGAACAUACAACCUGCUCUGGUCGCCCGCUCGCAUGGACAAGCCCGAGCUAACACCGCUCCCUUCCGAACCCCACUUUAUUGCCUUGCCUGUAAGCAUCCAUACGGAUGCCGAACAACUGUUAACAAUGGAUAUCUUGGUUCUC
rnacentral:misc_RNA from 1 species